AGAGUUUGAUCAUGGCUCAGGACGAACGCUGGCGGCGUGCCUAAUACAUGCAAGUCGAGCGCGGGAAGCAGAUAAUCACCCUUCGGGGUGUGCAUCUGUGGAACGAGCGGCGGACGGGUGAGUAACACGUGGGCAACCUGCCUGUAAGAUCGGGAUAACUUACGGAAACGUGAGCUAAUACCGGAUAAGACAUCCAUCCUCCUGGAUGGAUGAUGAAAGAUGGCUUCUCGCUAUCACUUACAGAUGGGCCCGCGGCGCAUUAGCUAGUUGGUGGGAUAAAAGCUCACCAAGGCAACGAUGCGUAGCCGACCUGAGAGGGUGAUCGGCCACACUGGGACUGAGACUCGGCCCAGACUCCUACGGGAGGCAGCAGUAGGGAAUCAUCCGCAAUGGACGAAAGUCUGACGGUGCAACGCCGCGUGAGUGACGAAGGUUUUCGGAUCGUAAAACUCUGUUGUUGGGGAAGAACAGGUAUCAUUCGAAUAGGGUGAUGCUUUGACGGUACCUAACCAGAAAGCCCCGGCUAACUACGUGCCAGCAGCCGCGGUAAUACGUAGGGGGCAAGCGUUGUCCGGAAUUAUUGGGCGUAAAGCGCGCGCAGGCGGUCCUUUAAGUCUGAUGUGAAAUCUCACGGCUUAACCGUGAGCGGUCAUUGGAAACUGGGGGACUUGAGUACAGAAGAGGAGAGUGGAAUUCCCGUGUAGCGGUGAAUGCGUAAAGAUGUGGAGGAAC
rnacentral:rRNA from 1 species